AGAGUUUGAUCCUGGCUCAGAUUGAACGCUGGCGGCAUGCUUUACACAUGCAAGUCGAACGGCAGCACAGGGAGCUUGCUCCCGGGUGGCGAGUGGCGCACGGGUGAGUAAUACAUCGGAACGUGUCCUGUUGUGGGGGAUAACUGCUCGAAAGGGUGGCUAAUACCGCAUGACACCUGAGGGUGAAAGCGGGGGAUCGCUAGACCUCGCGCAAUUGGAGCGGCCGAUGCCCGACUAGCUAGUUGGUGAGGUAAAGGCUCACCAAGGCGACGAUCGGUAGCCGGUCUGAGAGGACGACCAGCCACACUGGGACUGAGACACGGCCCAGAAUCCUACGGGAGGCA
rnacentral:rRNA from 1 species